rnacentral:rRNA from 1 species
GGGUGAGUAACACGUGGAUAACCUACCUAUAAGACUGGGAUAACUUCGGGAAACCGGAGCUAAUACCGGAUAAUAUUAUGAACCGCAUGGUUCAAAAGUGAAAGACGGUCUUGCUGUCACUUAUAGAUGGAUCCGCGCUGCAUUAGCUAGUUGGUAAGGUAACGGCUUACCAAGGCAACGAUGCAUAGCCGACCUGAGAGGGUGAUCGGCCACACUGGAACUGAGACACGGUCCAG